rnacentral:tRNA from 6 species
GACUUGACUUUAAAAAUCGUGAGG